UGGAGUCAAAUCCGAUUAAUUAGGAUGAAAUUAGCAUAUCACAUACCAAUGAUAAGAACUUCAUUAUAGCAUAUUGAUGUUAUAUUUUUAACUCUGGCGUAUAGUGGCGUUCUAUUUGUUACCAAGCACGACUGCAACAUCUAUUAUAACGAAUCAAACAAAAAGUUAGAGAUAUAUCUGCCAACUUUAUCAUAACUAGCUAGAUCCCACCUUUAAUUAAUAUAUAUAUAUAUAACCUUCUUAAGCUGAUAGACAUAUAUACAUACAAAUGCAGUUUAUCCAGAUCGAUCUAACGAAGAGUAGUUUAGAUCUGACGGUUGUUGGUCUGGGGGCCUCUGCCGGAGGUAACAGGUUUUCUUGGUGGCUUUCUGUAUGCCGUUUUGGUUGCUACUGAUCUACUUGUCACCACAAAUGUUGCCUCCUGCAUGCAGCCAAAUUAAAUUAAUUAAUGAGUAUUUGAAUAUAUUUAUAUGGGAUAUAGAGAGAUGAAACAGAGGAGAGAGAUGAGAGAGAUACAGUGGAGUUCUGUGUGGUUUCUCCUCCUAAUUGUGUUUGAGUAGGAGAAUUAUUAUCUGCAGGCGAUUGGUGUUUAUAAGUACUUUCUGAUGUGAAGCCCAGGCGCCUUAGCAUAGAUUUAAUGACUUCUUGUAGGAAAUUCCAGGGAGUUUUGUAAGAGUAGUAGUAUACUACUACUUCAGUACUCUCCCUCAUCACCUCUCCUGAACAACUAAUCUCCAUUAUUUAUUUCUUCUUCUUCUUCUAUGUCUCUUUCUCAAUGGAUUUAUUUAUACUCUCAAUUAAAGAUCAAAAGAAGAUCGAGGAGGAGAAGGGAGAAGGGAGAAGGGAGAAGGGAGGGGGGAGG
rnacentral:lncRNA from 1 species